rnacentral:tRNA from 1 species
AGUUAAAUAAGCAACAAGAAUAAGCCUAGUGCCUUGAAAACACUAUGAGAGAAGUUCAAACCUUCUAUUAACUU